AUUGAACGCUGGCGGCAUGCCUUACACAUGCAAGUCGAACGGUAACGCGGGGCAACCUGGCGACGAGUGGCGAACGGGUGAGUAAUGCAUCGGAACGUGCCCGGUAGUGGGGGAUAACUGCUCGAAAGGGCAGCUAAUACCGCAUACGACCUGAGGGUGAAAGGGGGGGAUCGCAAGACCUCCCGCUAUCGGAGCGGCCGAUGUCGGAUUAGCUAGUUGGUGGGGUAAAGGCCCACCAAGGCAACGAUCCGUAGCUGGUCUGAGAGGACGACCAGCCACACUGGGACUGAGACACGGCCCAGACUCCUACGGGAGGCAGCAGUGGGGAAUUUUGGACAAUGGACGCAAGUCUGAUCCAGCAAUGCCGCGUGCGGGAAGAAGGCCUUCGGGUUGUAAACCGCUUUUGUUAGGGAAGAAAUCUUCUGGGUUAAUACCUCGGGAGGAUGACGGUACCUAAAGAAUAAGCACCGGCUAACUACGUGCCAGCCGCCGCGGUAACAC
rnacentral:rRNA from 1 species